rnacentral:rRNA from 1 species
CCCUUAGAUGUUCUGGGCCGCACGCGUGCUACACUGAUGCAUUCAACGAGUCUAAAACCUGGUCUGAUAGGGCUGGGUAAUCUUUUGAAAGUGUAUCGUGAUUGGGAUAGAUGAUUGCAAUUCUUCAUCUUCAACGAGGAAUGCCUAGUAAACGCAAGUCAUCAGCUUGCAUUGAUUACGUCCCUGCCCUUUGUACACACCGCCCGUCGCACCUACCGAUUGGAUGGUCCGGUGAAGCCUCGGGAUUGUGGUUCUUGCCGCUUUAUUGUGGCGUGACCGCGAGAACUUGUCUAAACCUUAUCAUCUAGAGGAAGGUGAAGUCGUAACA